rnacentral:rRNA from 1 species
GUCGAGAAUAAUUCACAAUGGACGAAAGUCUGAUGGUGCAACGCCGCGUGGAGGUUGAAGGUCUUCGGAUUGUAAACUCCUGUCAUCGGGGAGUAAGACCUGGCGGUAAAUAGCCGACAGGGUUGAUAGUACCCGAAGAGGAAGGGACGGCUAACUUCGUGCCAGCAGCCGCGGUAAUACGAAGGUCCCAAGCGUUGUUCGGAAUCACUGGGCGUAAAGGGAGCGUAGGCGGCGUGGUAAGUCAGAUGUGAAAUCCCGGGGCUCAACCCCGGAACUGCAUCCGAUACUGCCAUGCUUGAGGGUUGGAGAGGUAGCUGGAAUUCUCGGUGUAGCAGUGAAAUGCGUGGAUAUCGAGAGGAACACUCGUGGCGAAGGCGAGCUACUGGACAACAUCUGACGCUGAGGCUCGAAGGCCAGGGGAGCAAAAGGGAUUAGAUACCCGAGUAGUCC